AGCAGCCGCGGUAAUUCCAGCUCCAAUAGCGUAUAUUAAAGUUGCUGCAGUUAAAAAGCUCGUAGUUGAAUUUCGGGAUCAAUAUGUUGGUCGUGCCUCGGUACGUACUAGCUUAUUGGUUUCUCCCUUCUGACGAACCAUGAUGUCAUUUAUUUGGUGUUAUGGGAAAUCAGGACUGUUACUUUGAAAAAAAUUAGAGUGUUUAAAGCAGGCUCACGCUUGAAUACAUUAGCAUGGAGUAAUGAAAUAGGACGUUCGAUCCUAUUUUGUUGGUUUCUAGGAUUGACGCAAUGAUUAAUAGGGAUAGUUGGGGGCAUUAGUAUUCAAUUGUCAGAGGUGAAAUUCUUGGAUUUAUUGAAGACUAACUACUGCGAAAGCAUUUGCCAAGGAUGUUUUCAUUAAUCAAGAACGAAAGUUAGGGGAUCGAAGACGAUCAGAUACCGUCGUAGUCUUAACCAUAAACUAUGCCGACUAGGGAUCGGAUGAUGUUAAUUUUUUAAUGACUCAUUCGGCGCCUUAC
rnacentral:misc_RNA from 1 species